UGCGGAGGGAUCAUUACCGAGAGAGGGCGCCUCGCGCGCCCGCCCUCCCAACCCUUUGCGAACCGUACCGCGUUGCCUCGGGGUGGCCCUAGCCGGGCGCCUCCGAGGACGUCUCACCAAACCCUGCGUCCUGCGUCGGAGUAUGAUAUUGAAUCAAUCAAAACUUUCAACAACGGAUCUCUUGGUUCUGGCAUCGAUGAAGAACGCAGCGAAAUGCGAUAAGUAAUGUGAAUUGCAGAAUUCAGUGAAUCAUCGAAUCUUUGAACGCACAUUGCGCCCCUGGCAUUCCGGGGGCAUGCCGUUCGAGCGUCAUUACACCACUCAAGCCUGGCUUGGUAUUGGCGUCGGGAUCCCCGCGCCUCUAUGUUUGUUCGGCUGACGGUUGAAUCUCAGCGUUGUGCAAUCAAUCGCUGUGGGACUGACUGGACGCGCCGUGAAAAUCUCAUCACAGUUGACCUCGGAUCGGGUAGGGAUACCCGCUGAACUUAA
rnacentral:rRNA from 1 species